UGAGUUUGGAAGGUGCCGGUCAGCGGAGCCAGGCGUUGUAUUUGAAAAGCAAUCAGCCCGGCCUUUCCCCAUAGAUAUAUCCUUUGUGGGAAUUCCACACAUGGAAGAUUGCCAGGAGCAGAAGCAUGUGACUCGAUGUCUUUUCCUGGAGUGGACACAUCCUGUAACCACCUCCCUAGGACAAGAAAGAGGAUACGGCCAACUUUCCCCGCUGCCCCGUGAAAUGCCCUCACAGACACACCCAGAAAUAAUGUUUUACCAGCUAUCUGGGCAUCCCUUGGCCCAGUCAAACUGACACAUAAAAUUAACCAUCACAAAUAACUGCUGUUGAAGGAUCAAUGCUCCAGGUCCCCUCUGCCAGUCGGUGUUUAUCAGAGGACAGUGGAGGAAGAGGGACAAAAGUUCUUGGAUAUAUGCGUUAAUCAAGAAUUGUCAGGACCCUGCCUCUAAAAGGAAGUGUUAAAAUAAUGUUUUUGACAUCAAGACUUUUCUCAAAGUUCGUGUAAUCCAAGGGUUUGGCAAACAAAGGACCACAGGCUAAAUCUGAUUUGUUGCCUGUUUUUGUAAAUAAAGAUUUAUUGGAACACGGCCACACUCACUCGUUUAUGCAUUGUCUGCCACUGCUUUUGCACUAGAACGUGGAGCAGUAGUGGCAGAGACCACGUGGCCUGCAAAGAUUUGCCUUCUGGCUCUUUACAGAAAAAGUUUGCUGACUUCUGAAAUAGUCUAUCCAAUUCACUCAAUAACUCCUCCACGCGGAGAAAUACACUUACAGGAAUUUUUAGAGUGGUCCUUGUUUGAUGAAAGGCUGAGGGCCUUCGGUAACGUGCUUAUGUUAUGGGUGUUCAGUAUGGGUGUAUAGAUAGCAGGAAGCAAGAAGGCUUUGGCAAGAAGUCAUGGUUUGAGAAAGGUUCUGCCAUUAUUGUCUCAGUGGCAAGUCACCAAUCAUGAUUGGGCUCUUCCUUGUCUGCUACCUGGAGGAGAAGGUGUUGACGUGGUUGGAACUUCUGGCUUGGAGUGCACCUUUAUUAACUACUUCAAGACCUUACGGUCAACAUGGUGGACUUUUGCUUCCAGACCAAAAGAUGGGAGCCCUUUGCCACCAGUUGGUGGUUGGGAGGGUACAUAAAGUCCUAGGGAAUCCGUAUCAGAGAAAUUUUCAAGUAUGAAUUGUCCAAUUAAAUGACAUAUAGUAAACAUGCCCGAUGUGCACUUAUUUUGCCAUACUGUUAAACACAGUCUUCAUUCAGAUUGUACUCAUUCAAUGACGUGUCUUGUAAUUUUUGAGAUGAUCAUUAUCGAAUAUCCCUACAGGAAGCAGCUUCCACCAAAAUAUUGAAUUUGCCUUGUCAUGGGAGGAGAAGUGAAGUUCUUCAAAGUUUCUGUUUUUGAUAUUGCCCUUUUAACAGAGAAGUUUGCCAACAUUUUCCUCAUCUUCAAUGUUGUUAGUUAUUUGUUCUCUUCAGGUUUAUCUGUGAACCUAAAAGUCAUAGAAAUCGCUGAAACAAAGAUGCCAAUGAAGUUGCCUCCCCCCCACACGCAAAAACUUUCCAGAAU
ensembl:lncRNA